GAUGAACGCUGGCGGCGUGCCUAAUACAUGCAAGUCGAGCGACCGGGCGGGCAUCUUGCUCCUCUGACGUUGGCGACGGACGGGUGAGUAACACGUGGAUAACCUACCUAUGGGACUGGGAUAACGUCGGGAGACCGGAGCUAAUACCGGAUAAUAUGUUGAAACGCGGGGUUCAAUAGUGAAAGACGGUUUUGCUGUGCCGUAUAGGUGGAUCCACGCCGGAUUAGCUAGUUGGUAAGGUAACGGCUUACCAAGGCAACGAUGCGUAGCCGACCUGAGAGGACGAUCAGCCACACUGGAACUGAGACACGGCCCAGACUCCUACGGGAGGCAGCAGUGGGGAAUUUUCGACAAUGGGGGCAACCCUGAUGCAGCCAUGCCGCGUGCGGGAAGAAGGCCUUCGGGUUGUAAACCGCUUUUAUUCGGGAAGAAAUCCUCUGGGCUAAAACCCCGGGGGGAUGACGGUACCGGAAGAAUAAGCACCGGCUAACUACGUG
rnacentral:rRNA from 1 species